AUUCAGUUGAUGAGUUCAAAGUAGGACGAAACACGCGUCCUGAAU
rnacentral:hammerhead_ribozyme from 1 species